rnacentral:lncRNA from 1 species
UGCUUCCUCUUAGUAACAAUACUCCUUCAUCAAUUGAUAACCACAAUGUACAACCCUACACUCUCAAAAGACUGCUCAAAACUAUAAAACUCAAUAAAUUUCAUCCAACACGAGGAAUAGCAAACUUCACUCUAACCAAUUUGAAUUUACAAAAUUCUUGUAAUCAUAGACUUCCUCUGUCGAAAUACACACAUACAACUCUCAAUAAACAACAAUCAUAAUCUUCCAUCUAUAAUCAAUCUUCCAAUAACUUCUCAUAUAAUUUAAUCACUCAGUAUUCCAAUUACAUAAUUAAUAACUCAUAAAUCAAUCUUUGAUUUAUUCUACAAACUCACUUCUCAGUAUUCAGAAACUAUCUAUUAUUCUUCAACAACAAAGAAAACAAAAGAAACAAAGCGGAAGCACCAAGCUUAACCUCGGCUCAGGACUAUCACAUUUUGGCCCUUUCUUCUUCUCUUCCAUCCUCCUUAUAUUACUCCGAGAUACCAACUCCUACACUAUGGAUGAUAACUACUUUUCUUGACUAUUCAUCCAUUCUACCUGCUGAACCACCUUUUCAACAGUUAUCUAUCCCUGUUUAUACUAUACACUAGAUAUCUACAUUUUGAAAAUAACUACUUAUU